CCUGGCUGGCUCAUUUGGUAGAGGCUGUGCGGCUCUUGGUCUUGGGGUUGUGAGUUUGAGCCCCAUGUUGGGUGUUGAGGUUACUUCAAAAUAAAAAUAAAAACCCUGAAAGAAAUGAUAAAAUAGGUACAUCUUAGAACUGAUGAAAUCGGUUGUUUGAAAACUCUCCAGAAGGCACCGUUUAGGAGACCAACUCGCCUGACUUUUCUCAGUACAUGCCUCCUGCGCAGGAACAGGUAGCUGCUCUAGGUUAAGCCGCAGGCGCGCGCUGAGGCCGCGGUAUGCAGAAUUGUCCGGCGGGGCCACAUACUGCCCUGCAAGAGCUCUGUGAGAGCAGUGAGCAGAGGCACUCCAGAUUCACUUCUCCUGUCUCAAGCUUGCAGGGAAAUGGGAUGGAAGGGUGAGCAUGCUUGAACACUGGCCAGAAGAACCCAGAAACAAGGGUGAGGUAAAAGUACGAGAGAAAGUGGCAAAAGAAAAGUACAAAGUCCGUUGAAGGCAGGAACUAGGAGAUCCAGAAAAUGAGUGGGAAGACAGUCUUAGGUGUAUUGGGGUGAGGUUGGAGAAGACAGCUGCAGGUUUAGUUCCUGGAAUAUUGAGGGAGUUCCCCGGAGACAGCUUCUGUUCUCUGGGAAGCAGGUGUGGUUGUCUCAUGAACCUGAAGUUAGGAAAGGGUAGGAGGAGACAGAGAUUUGAGGGUGGCGGAGAACGUUUGAAAGAAUCGUUAGAGGAAGUGGUGGAACAGCGGAGGAGAGAAACGUACCAGGAUUGUUCGGAAAGACACCGAAUUAUGCUGCAGGUGACUGGUCUUUUUUUACUCUAUCUCCUCGUUCCUAGUGGCUGCAUAAUACCCUUGGUGUUUACUUGAUCUCAUCUGACAAACAUUUGAGUUGUUUCCGAUUUUUUAGUAUUCUAAACCUAUUUGUGCGACACAUUUAAGUGUGUUUGGAGAAGUGGAGUUGCAGUUUCGGGGAGCGUAUCCCUCAGGGGACAGAGACUGUCAGUUAAGUUAUUCACAUAGAGAGAAUUUUUUUUUUCCUUAAAGUUUUUUUUUUUUCUUUCUUAAUUAUUUGACAGAGACACAGCGAGAGAGGGAACACGAGCAGGGGGAGUGGGAGAGGGAGAAGCAGGCUUCCCGCUGAGCAGGGAGCCCGAUGUGGGGCUCGAUCCCAGGACCCCAGGAUCAUGACUUGAGCCGAAGGCAGAUGCUUAAUGAGUGAGCCACCCAGGCGCCCCCAGAUAGAGAGAAUUUAAUACAAAGAAGUGAUGAGCUAGGUGGAAGGUUGGUAACUGGGCCACUGGCAGUGUAAGCACCUUCUAGGGUGUUAUGCAGGCUGCCGCUGCAGGAAGUGGCUCCCAUCUCCAGGGCUAAGGGGACAGGGGGAGAAAGUGGAAUUGUUAAAAGGAGAAGCUUGAAGGAGAGCCCCUGUGGAGGCAGAACUCAGGCCUCCUGGGCUGCGGCUAGUGCUGCCCUCUGGGAACUGGGACAGAGGGUCCCCCGGGACAGGGGAGGGUGGUGGCUGGCUGGAACCAGUCCUACGGAGCCGCCAGAGGGCGCUGCUGCCGAGUUGAAGAAGUGCGGCUGGGGAGAUGCCCACGGGAGCCCCUAGCGGACCUGCCAGGUCCCUCUUUCCCCACUCUUCUUCCUGCCUCGCAGUCCCAUCCCCAUCCUUCUGCAGAUCCUGCCUAGCACGGGGCGGGGAGGUGGCUGGUGGGGCUGCAGCCCCUGCCUCACGAAGCUGAGGGCAGCCUUGGGGCUGAGACGUGAACUCACUGUGUUAGUCCAGAGUGCAUGUGGAUAUGGGUGUGCGAGUAUGUAUAAAUAUUGGCUUAUUUAAGGAAUCUCUGCACCCGGCGUGGGGCUUGAAUCCACAGCCCAAGAUCAGGAGUUGCAUGCUCUACCCUCUGAGCUGGCCA